ensembl:lncRNA
UUGAGACACAAUGUAGAAAGAGAUAUUAACCGAAACAGUGUUUUAUAGGUUCGUAAGUAAUUAACUACUUAAAAUUGGAUAAUUACUUUUGCCCAGUCUUUAACCAGUCUACCUACCCUGUGUUAGGGACAGGGGCUUUUCCGCCACAUCUGACAUUUAAAAUAUGGCCCUUUGUUUCAGGUUUCCACACCACAGAUACCUCUGGCCGGACCCUCACGUACUUCAAGCUUUGCCGCGACCACCACGUCACUAAGAUCGCGAUGAAGACACCAAUGAGGAUGCAGAAGACCUUGGAGGCCCCAGACGAGAAUUCUUCCAUCUACUUGGAAAAGCUGUCUUUAAAGACAGUGGAGCAUUUGAAGCUUCAGCUCCAGAGACGGCAGGCGGGACGAGUCAACGGAGGCCGGGUGGACGAAGGCAUGCAGCUGAGUACAAUCCAGAA